rnacentral:tRNA from 1 species
GCGCCCUUAGUUCAGCGGUAGAACGUUGGUCUCCAAAACCAAAUGUCGUGGGUUCAAUUCCUACAGGGCGCG